UGGGGAAUAUUGGACAAUGGGCGCAAGCCUGAUCCAGCAAUGCCGCGUGGGUGAAGAAGGUCUUCGGAUUGUAAAGCCCUUUCGACAGGGACAAUGAUGACGGUACCUGUAGAAGAAGCCCCGGCUAACUUCGUGCCAGCAGCCGCGGUAAUACGAAGGGGACUAGCGUUGCUCGGAAUUACUGGGCGUAAAGGGCGCGUAGGCGGCGCUGUUAGUCAGGCGUGAAAUUCCUGGGCUCAACCUGGGGACUGCGCUUGAUACGGCAGUGCUAGAGGAUGGAAGAGGCUCGCGGAAUUCCCAGUGUAGAGGUGAAAUUCGUAGAUAUUGGGAAGAACACCGGUGGCGAAGGCGGCGAGCUGGUCCAUUACUGACGCUGAGGCGCGACAGCGUGGGGAGCAAA
rnacentral:rRNA from 1 species